AUGUUUAGCAGCUUCAAAAACGUCCUGUGAUGUCAGCGGUUCAGGUGCGACUUCCUGUGACGCCAGCUGUUCAGAUUAGACUUCAUGUCAUGCCAG